CAUAUCACGUUUAAACACCGGUUCUGGUACGAUCACCGAAGUUAAGCAACAUCGAGCUUGGUCAAUACCGAGAUGGGUGACCGCUUGUGAAUCCAAUAUGUUGUA